AUAAAAUAAAUAUUCCAAUUUUAAAAUUAUUAUUCAACAAAGGAAAAAUUAAAAAGAAACAGUAAUUGUGAUGUAGUCCACCCACCAUGAGCUGAGCGUUGGCUUAACAGUUUUGUAUCAAAUUAUGGUGUUGUGUAUCAAGUUGAGAUUAUAUUCUGUAUAAUGUUGUGGUGAUACUGUAUCAUAUGUGAUUAGCCUAUACUGUAUCAUUUAUGGUGAUAUGCCGUGGUAAAGGACCGUUAUGUAGCAAAUGUGAGUGUUAACUGAAGCCGAUAGUCCUAGUAGUUGUUUUUGGUGAAGCUAUGUGACGCUGGUAGUCUCUCAUACUGUGCCCUUCU